UAUUUAUUUUGGUGCUUAUUGGCAGCUCUAGGAAAGGGAAUCUAAAAUCUGUAAAAGUGACAAUUUGUCAGUGUGUAUGUGUUGAAAACAAGGUAUCAAGAAAAACACUCAAAUACUGUUGAGUGGAAAACAUCCCCUAAACCACCUGACUAUAAUCAAGGAACCACACAAAAGAUAAAACGCUGAGCUUCUAAAUUUGAUAACGCUUGAUAAAGCAAAUAACUUUCUCCAAAGCGUCCAGCUUUUAAAAUAAUAAAACCCUAGAUUCUCGCCUAAAUGUACGCCAUCAGAAAGGCUGCAGGGCCUUUCAACACAGAUUAGUUCAGUUGACUUGACCAGGUCACUGAACGUCUUUAGACUUCAGUUUACUUACCUCUCUAGGGAUGGGGUGGAAACUGAUUUUCAAGGUGUAUUAAACCCUAAGUGUUUAUUGAGCACCUAAGAGUGUGUUAGCCCAGUCGAGGUUAUCAGAGUGUUCACAGGUGCGGGAAACUCCAGACCUCAGGGCCCCACUUGCCGUUGAGCGCCUUGUCCCACUGGUGGAGGACUGACCCCAGGAAGGCGCUCUCCCUGCGGUGCAAGCACUGGGUGCUGUCGCCAGGCCCCUAGGGGCAGCAGGCACAUGGCAGGAGGUAAGGAAAAGGAAGCCAAGCCCUGACUCCUGCCCUGGACGCUUGCUACCUGGGCCGAGAAACGUCACCAACUGGCAGCAAACGCUGAGAAAGGUGAAGCUCCCGCGGGAGCGAGGCUGCAGUUUCGGUGUCUCGGCACUUCAGCCCCUGGAUUUUACCUGGGGCUCACCCGGGUCAGGCCUGACUCGGGAAUGGGGCAUCCUCAGAGUCGAAGGCCAUUAAAGCUCUCGGGCAGCGCCCCUUCUCACCCCCUAAACGCUAGCCAAUAAGGUCUCCCAAGACACCACACAACCGUCCCUCCACCACUGAACGCCCCCAACUCCUACCGGUUCCGCAGCUGCUCUCGCGAUACUUCUAGAACGAAGCCCCCUUCGCUCCACCCUCCCUCCUCCAUCCACCAAUCAGUUAGGAGUUGGGGGCGGGGUUUUUCUUUUGAGCAGGGAGCGGGGCCUUCAAUCCUUGCGCUCUGGUGCUGAGAAUGGGCAGGACUGAGGCGGGGCUCCGAGAGAGGUGGGGCCGCGAGAGGGGGAGGACACGCACGAUAUCUCGCGAGACUGGAGACCAGGACGAUGCCUGUUUAGACGCGGCUAAGGCCGCGGGAGAUGGUAUUUCGGGAUAUUCUGCAUCUGAGCCAAGUCUGGUCUCCAGUUGGGGAGGCGGGACCCGGCCAGGCCCGGCCUGUGGAGGCGCGCAGUGCCCGCUGUGGUUUAGGGGAGAUUCAGGCCACGGCCUGUCAGAGCCAAGUCAGGGAGGCACCCACACUCCUGACAGGAACAGGAUAAGAUGACAGCGAUGGCGCCUGGAGGUGGUUGUGCCGGCGGCGUGAAUCCAUUCCUCAGCGAUUCGGCCGAGGAUAACGACGAGAUCUGCUUGGUGGGGCCAUAGAGACUCGAAAUGGGUGAAAGCAAAAGAAGAAGCUUUAUUUGGUUGGCCAAGCAAAGGAGCACACUGGGACAUCGCCAAGAAGGCUCCUAGAACAAUAGCCCAAGGAGUUUGUAUGUGUGAAGCAAAUCGGAUCUAGGGUCUGGACGAGCGCCUCCAGGUGGGGCCGGCUUGCUGAUUGGUCUGGCCCAAAAAGGCGUUCCCAGAGCAGUCUGGCCUUUCUGCACUUGCUCAGCCUAAAAAGGGGGGAGCCUCUCAAACCAGAUCUUAGGAUCCGAUCUUGGGCUUCGACCCCUCGCUUCUGAAAGCCUCUCCCUAAUCUUGGGUCGCUAAAGUUUGGUUCCCUCCAGUGGGAGAAUUCCGGGGUCACCCGGAGGACAGGGUAGAUGUUUCUGUGCAUGUCAGACAGGCCAGAUCUAGUUCUUGCCAGUUUCAGCUGGUUCUGCAACCCCAGUCUUGUUUUCCUCAACUUGGCCAGAAACUGGAAGCAUACCUAAAUAAGGUGAUAGGUUAAAGACAGGCAGUUAGUUCCUAACUCAUAGAAGAUGGCAGACACAGCCCUUUGCCUAUUGAAGAUGUGGGGCAGACUGCCGGUCUCUAUCUUGACAUCUAAGAGCGUUAAACCUGUUUACUUAGAAUAUCAGAAAAUUUAGGUGGACCUGCAACUUUCAAGAAUAUUGGACGGGGAAAUACAAAAUAAGAAUGAUGCUUACUCACUUGGAACAUUCAUAUGUACACUUUGACAUGCCAACAAUAUUGUGUCGUGUAUUAAAAAUAUUAGUGAUGAAUAACAUCGAUCUCAAAAAUACAGGAUAAAAUUGCUUUAGAUUUUUUAAAUAUUUUUGUCAUUUAGGAUUUUGAAUUAUGGAAUGUCAUAUUAAACACUUCAAAACCUCCAGGUUUAUGCAACUUUACUGAGAGUUUGGAGUGACUGGUAAAGAUCUUGUGGAUGUGCCCAGUGGAGUAGAAGAAGAUGAAUUAGAGGCCCUUAAACCAAUUAGGCAACCUUCCUCUAAACUUUGAAACUCCUCGGUUUAUAGAGGUGAGAGAUAGCUAACUGGUUAUGUCCAUAAAAAGUAUUUAUGUAAAAGCAUAUGUAAUGUGAGAUCUUGAGUUGGUUUUUCUCACAUUUUGAUUUUAAACCUCCUUUUCUAGUACAGAAAUUAGAGGAUAAAAUUAGUUUAUUAAAUCAUGAGAAAUGGUCUUUGAUGGAGCAAGUCAGAUUUGUAAGUACUCGAUCAUCAUUUCAAAACAAAAACCUUAAAGUUUUCAAAUUGGCAGAUUAUAUAAAUAUUUUAAUUGUAAGACACAAUUUUUACACAUUUUAAUUGUAAAAGUGAAGGUUUUAUAGUUGAUUUACAUAUUUAAUGUAAUAGGAAUUCUUUUUCUUUCCCAAGAAAGGAUUAAAUUAUUAAAGUGAUCUUACAAUUGAUUGUUUUGGAAACAAGGAAUAAGAUAUUUUGACUUCCCCUGAGUUGUGUCAGUAUCAAUAACUCCUUCAUAUCAGUGUCGUGCAUGUUUCCUGUUCAUUAUUUCAUUUAAUAUUUACAAUGAGUCUUUGGAUUAAAUGGAAUUAUCCCCAUUUUGCAAAUGAAGACAAGGAAAAGUGUUAAAAUCUAAAUUGUUUUAUUGGAUAUGAUCUUAUUAUGGAAAAGUAACUACCAUUAAUCCAAAACAGCAUAUAUAAUAAAAGGCCAUUUGUAUGCUUCAUUGGUAAGAGUUUGUAGCUAUGUAUAUGAAGCAAAAGUGAAUGUGAUACAGAAAAAAUUAAUUGUCGCCAAAGCAUUUUCUAUUAACGUGUUACAAUUUUUAAAACAUUAAACCCAUUGAGAUUUAUACUAUUGCCAAUGUUUUAAAAAUACAGUAAUUUUUCUUUCUACAGGGAAAUGGACUUCUCAGUUUUCUAGUGCUGCUAUAACAGAAAUACCAUAAGUAGAUGGCUUUAGCAAACAGAAAUUUAUUCUCUCACAGUGUAGGAGGCCGUUGUUAGGUGCCAUGGAGUCGGUUCAGACUCAUAGUGACCCUAUAGGAAAAAGCGGAACUGCCUCAUAGGGUUUCCGUGGAGCAGCUGGUGGAUUUGAACUGCCAGUCUUUUGGUUAGCAGCUUAUCUCUUAACCACUAUGCCACCAGAAGGCUAGAAGUCCAAAUUCAUGGUGCAAGCUCCAGGGGAAGGUUUUGUCUUUGUCAGCUCUGGGGGAAGGUCCUUGUCAUAAAUCUUCCCCUGGUCUAGGAGCUUCCUCAGUCCAGGACCUCAGGUCCAAAGGACACACUCUGCUACUGGCUCUUCUUUCUUGAUGGUAAUGAUGGCCCUCUCUCUGCUGGUUCUUUUUUUUUAUAUCUCAAAAGAGAUUGACUCAAGAUAAGACCUAACCCUGUCCAUUGAAUAUUGCCUUGUUAACAUAACUGCUUCUAAUCCUGCCUCAAAGACUUACAACAUACAGGAUAAUCACAUUAGAUCACAAAAUGGAGGACUAUCACACAAUACUGGGAAUCAUGGCCUAGCCAAGUUGACACACAUUUUAGGGGGACACAAUUCAAUCCACAACAUUUUGCUAAAAAACGAACAUUUUGCCAUCUCAGUAAUUUGUGAUUCUGUUCAACCUGCUUUGGAUCAGUCUUCCCACAAAGACUCUGAAGAUAGUAGGCAGAAUUCAGUUGUAAAUAGUCAGACAAGGGAAAAAGCAAAGCUAUUUAUCUUUCAGAAACCCUGGUGGCAUAGUGGAUAGGUGCUACAGCUGCUAACCAAAGGGUCGGCUAGUUCAAAUCCACCAGGCACUCCUUGGAAACCCUAUGGGGCAGUUCUACUCUGUUCUACAGGGUUGCUAUGAGUCAGAAUCGACGGCUUUUUUUAUUUUUCAUUAUCAGAUGAAAUGGAUUCUACUAGAUAAUGUCCAGGGCAAAAAGCCAAGUCUAUAUUGGUAUGUAAAGGUCACUUACUGGAAAAUAUAAAUAAAAAUUUGAAAAUAUUUUGUCCUUUCGAAUUGGUUUACAAAUAGGGAUCUAAAUUUAAUGAGAGGACUUUGGUGCUUUGAGCUAGACUCUCACAGUCAGAAACGUAGCACGUUUCACGCUAAUUAUGAUAGUGUGAGAAAGUUUAACCCUAGGCUUAACUUCUGUCAAAACAAUUCAACCUUCAGAAAUAAGCUAUUAAGCAUAACAUGAGUCUACAAUUAAAAAAAAAAACACUCCUGGUUAAUGUUUUCCAUCAGCAAGACAAAAUAUCCAGCAAUUGCUACUUUUAUAU